rnacentral:lncRNA from 7 species
ACCCAAGACAGAUAUCCGCUGCCACCCCAAUCCCAAUCCUCGGCGGCGGCGCCCUCCAAUCCAACAAGUGGCUCUCCAAUCCCCAUCCUGGUAUAUCUCCAAUCCCCAUCCGGCCUGUUAAUUUAUAUGCCCUAGCAGAAUCCCCAUAAGCCAUUGGUACUGCUGUCAGUUUUUUUGGUUCUUUUGUUUGAUUUCAUCACUGUCAGUUUUGUAUGAUUUCAUACUAUCAGUUUUUUCCUAUCAUUUAGUUGGAUGGUAUGGUUAGACUAUGGUAGAGAAGGAAAAUAUAGAGAGAGUUCUAACUUAAAACUGGUACAGUUUAAACAUAGCAAGGAUUUUCCUAAUGUCUGACUGUAUGAAAGCAGAAUCCCCAUCCGCCAUUGGUACUGCUGUUAGUUUUUUGUUGUUGUUUUGUUUGAUUUCAUCAAUGUUAGUUUUUCCUAUCAUUUAGUUGGAUGGUAUGGUUAGACUAUGGUAGAGAAGGCAAAUAUAGAGAGAGUUCUAACUUAAAAGUUAAAACUGGUACAGUUUAAAUAUAGCAAGGAUUUUCCUAAUGUCUGACUGUAUGAAAUAUAGGAAGACCUCUUAGUACAGGUUGUUCCUUAAUGGUAUGAAUUAUUCAGGUGGGAUGUCCUUUUGUAACUUGGUACUAAUGUUUUGAUCACCAUGCAUAACAGCCAUUGGUAUGGUACUGCUGUCAGUUUUUUUGGUUGUUUUGUUUGAUUUCAUCACUGUCAGUUUUGUUAGAUUUCAUCACCUGUCAAUUUUUUCCUGUCAUUUAGUUAGAUGGUAUGGUUAGACUAUGGUAGAGAAGGCAAAUAUAGAGAGAGUUUUAACUUAAAACUGGUACAGUUUCAACAUAGCAUGGAUUUUUCUACUGCCUGACUGUAUGAAAUAUUCUGACUGUAUGAAAUAUAGGAAGACCUCUUAGUAGAGGUUGUUCCUUAAUGGUAUGAAAUUGUUCAGGUGGGAUUUCCUACUGUCAAGCAAACAAAAAUAAUAUAAGUAGAGGCCUAAAAGUCAUCAAGUUCAACCAUUUAUAGGGAGAGCACAUGUCACUUGGUAGAAUGGUUGUUACAAGGAGAUAAUAGUUCAAGCUGUCCUGUCCUUACUGCACUUUGGGGAGAACAUAUGUUACGCCAUAAAUUUGUCAGGUUGUUGUGUGUAUUUUUUAGUUCAUCAAUAAAGCUAAAACUCUGCUGUCAACCUGUAACAAAGAAAAAAUAGCAGUUCUAUCCAUGGCCUUUUUAUCUAGACUGGAGAGAAACGUUAGGCAGAGCAAAAAAACAUGAGUUUUUUAGAGUUCGUUCUCAGGUCUGCAACAUCCAUUUUUAGAGUUCGUUCUCAUGUCUGCAACAUCUAUUUUAGAGUUGCAGUGAAUUUGAAUUAAAUAUUUGAGUUUCACUUUCUUGCUACCAUAAAACAAUCAUGACAUGGUUGUACAUGAUUAUUGGUAUUUUGUAGCCUGGAUUAACCUCACUACAAUUCUCUAGAGAUUGUGAGAUUUUGAGAUAGAAUAUAUAAACUUGAAAGCUCAUGUGUUAAAAGAUGACAUGCAUCCGGAAUGUUGUAGAUAUCAUUUAGGUGGUGUUUCAAGGACCUCUACGCAUCAUAGCGAGCUCUAAGGUUUGGCGAGUUUGAGUUUCCUUUUAUGAUCUUUUCAGUAACUCUCGCAACUCAAAUUCUCGUACCCGCGCAUUGGUGUUUUAGACCUACAAUUGAUUUUAUGACCAUACACUGUUUUCUACUGAUAUUGUCUUCUUAAAGUAGCCAAUGUUGUUUUGUUAGGGUCCUCAUUCGGUCACUACGAUGGAUUUAGAGUGGUACGCCAAUUGGGUGUGUGCAAGAGUCAAAUUUAGGUUCAUAUUGUAAUGUUUGUACUGGUCUGCUACCCUGCUACACUGACAUUUUUUGCUAGGCAUAGUGUAGCAUGUACUUUAUUUAUAUCUAUGCAAAUUGUGAAAUAUCCGUAUCAAUGGUCUAUAUUUUUUUGCAAAAUCUCAGGUUGGAGAAAAAAAUCAUGGUUAAAGUAGUGUUCAUUUCAAUCUCCAUGUUGUCUGCGUAAGUGUACAACAUUUCUGGUAUCCACCCCAUCCUCAUCACACGCAAGUUCAUGCGUCCCUAAUCACAUAAAUACUAUUUUUUGAAUCUCAGCUUCAAUUUAAAUGUAGAGAAUGAUAGGUCGAAGUAAUAUCUUUGUGAUAAUCUGGUGCCACUUAAUGAAUUUGUAAGAUCUCAUAUUUGUAGUUUCUAGAAGUUUUGUUCAACAAUCUAUUGUCCUUGCAUGAAAAGUGAAUUAGCAUCAAGUUUUGAU